AAAUUGAAGAGUUUGAUCAUGGCUCAGAUUGAACGCUGGCGGCAGGCCUAACACAUGCAAGUCGAGCGGCAGCGACAACAUUGAACCUUCGGGGGAUUUGUUGGGCGGCGAGCGGCGGACGGGUGAGUAAUGCCUAGGAAAUUGCCCUGAUGUGGGGGAUAACCAUUGGAAACGAUGGCUAAUACCGCAUGAUGCCUACGGGCCAAAGAGGGGGACCUUCGGGCCUCUCGCGUCAGGAUAUGCCUAGGUGGGAUUAGCUAGUUGGUGAGGUAAGGGCUCACCAAGGCGACGAUCCCUAGCUGGUCUGAGAGGAUGAUCAGCACACUGGAACUGAGACACGGUCCAGACUCCUACGGGAGGCAGCAGUGGGGAAUAUUGCACAAUGGGCGCAAGCCUGAUGCAGCCAUGCCGCGUGUAUGAAGAAGGCCUCGGGUUGUAAAGUACUUUCAGUAGGGAGGAAGGUUCAUGCGUUAAUAGCGUAUGGAUUUGACGUUACCUACAGAAGAAGCACCGGCUAACUCCGUGCCAGCAGCCGCGGUAAUACGGAGGGUGCGAGCGUUAAUCGGAAUUACUGGGCGUAAAGCGCAUGCAGGUGGUUAGUUAAGUCAGAUGUGAAAGCCCGGGGCUCAACCUCGGAAUUGCAUUUGAAACUGGCUGACUAGAGUACUGUAGAGGGGGGUAGAAUUUCAGGUGUAGCGGUGAAAUGCGUAGAGAUCUGAAGGAAUACCGGUGGCGAAGGCGGCCCCCUGGACAGAUACUGACACUCAGAUGCGAAAGCGUGGGGAGCAAACAGGAUUAGAUACCCUGGUAGUCCACGCCGUAAACGAUGUCUACUUGGAGGUUGUGGCCUUGAGCCGUGGCUUUCGGAGCUAACGCGUUAAGUAGACCGCCUGGGGAGUACGGUCGCAAGAUUAAAACUCAAAUGAAUUGACGGGGGCCCGCACAAGCGGUGGAGCAUGUGGUUUAAUUCGAUGCAACGCGAAGAACCUUACCUACUCUUGACAUCCAUAGAACUUAGCAGAGAUGCUUUGGUGCCUUCGGGAACUAUGAGACAGGUGCUGCAUGGCUGUCGUCAGCUCGUGUUGUGAAAUGUUGGGUUAAGUCCCGCAACGAGCGCAACCCUUAUCCUUGUUUGCCAGCGAGUAAUGUCGGGAACUCCAGGGAGACUGCCGGUGAUAAACCGGAGGAAGGUGGGGACGACGUCAAGUCAUCAUGGCCCUUACGAGUAGGGCUACACACGUGCUACAAUGGCGUAUACAGAGGCUGCCAACCAGCGAUGGUGAGCGAAUCCCAAAAAGUACGUCGUAGUCCGGAUUGGAGUCUGCAACUCGACUCCAUGAAGUCGGAAUCGCUAGUAAUCGUGGAUCAGAAUGCCACGGUGAAUACGUUCCCGGGCCUUGUACACACCGCCCGUCACACCAUGGGAGUGGGCUGCAAAAGAAGUGGGUAGUUUAACCUUCGGGAGGACGCUCACCACUUUGUGGUUCAUGACUGGGGUGAAGUCGUAACAAGGUAGCGCUAGGGGAACCUGGCGCUGGAUCACCUCCUUA
rnacentral:rRNA from 1 species